UUGCAAUGAUGACUUCUUAGGACACCUUUGGAUAACCAAUGAAAAGAACUAAUUUGAUCUGAGCAAU